rnacentral:rRNA from 1 species
AGAGUUUGAUCCUGGCUCAGGACGAACGCUGGCGGCGUGCCUAAUACAUGCAAGUCGAGCGGACUUGAUGAGGAGCUUGCUCCUCUGAGAGUUAGCGGCGGACGGGUGAGUAACACGUAGGCAACCUGCCCUCAAGACUGGGAUAACUACCGGAAACGGUAGCUAAUACCGGAUAAUUAAAUUCGCUGCAUGGUGGAUUUAUGAAAGGCGGAGCAAUCUGUCACUUGAGGAUGGGCCUGCGGCACAUUAGCUAGUUGGUGAGGUAACGGCUCACCAAGGCGACGAUGCGUAGCCGACCUGAGAGGGUGAACGGCCACACUGGGACUGAGACACGGCCCAGACUCCUACGGGAGGCAGCAGUAGGGAAUCUUCCGCAAUGGGCGAAAGCCUGACGGAGCAACGCCGCGUGAGUGAUGAAGGUUUUCGGAUCGUAAAGCUCUGUUGCCAGGGAAGAACGUCUCAUAGAGU